AUUGAACGCUGGCGGCAGGCCUAACACAUGCAAGUCGAACGAGUGGCGGACGGGUGAGUAAUGUCUGGGAAACUGCCCGAUGGAUGGGGAUAACUACUGGAAACGGUAGCUAAUACCGCAUACCAUCGGAUGUGCCCAGAUGGGAUUAGCUUGUCGGUGAGGUAACGGCUCACCUAGGCGACGAUCCCUAGCUGGUCUGAGAGGAUGACCAGCCACAAUGGGACUGAGACACGGUACAGACUCCAUCGUGAGGCACCAGGGAGGAAUAUUGCACAAGCGGCGCAAGCGUAAUACAUCCAUGCCGAGUGUAUGAAGAAGGCCUUCGGAUUGUAGAGUACUGUCAGCGAGGAGGCGUUACCCGCAGAAGAAGCACCGGCUAACUCCGGGCCAGCCGCCGCGGUAAUUC
rnacentral:rRNA from 1 species